rnacentral:rRNA from 1 species
GUCCACGCCGUAAACGAUGAGAACUAGCUGUUGGGGGGAUAAAGCCUCUUAGUAGCGAAGCUAACGCGAUAAGUUCUCCGCCUGGGGAGUACGACCGCAAGGUUAAAACUCAAAGGAAUUGACGGGGCCCGCACAAGCGGUGGAGCAUGUGGUUUAAUUCGACGCAACGCGAAGAACCUUACCUACCCUUGACAUCUUGUGAACUAUCCAGAGAUGGAUUGGUGCCUUCGGGAGCACAAAGACAGGUGCUGCAUGGCUGUCGU